GCCUGGAUAGUUUAGUGGUUAUAAUUUUGCACUUGUACGACGUAGUCAAGGAAUGCAAGGGUCCCGUGUUCAAAUCGCGGUUCAGGCA